UACAGAGGGGGCAAGCGUUGUUCGGAAUUACUGGGCGUAAAGGGCGCGUAGGCGGCCUGCUAAGUCGAACGUGAAAUCCCCGGGCUCAACCCGGGAACUGCGUCCGCUACUGACAGGCUCGAAUCCGGGAGAGGGAUGUGGAAUUCCAGGUGUAGCGGUGAAAUGCGUAGAUAUCUGGAGGAACACCGGUGGCGAAGGCGGCAUCCUGGACCGGUAUUGACGCUGAGGCGCGAAAGCGUGGGGAGCAAACAGG
rnacentral:rRNA from 1 species